rnacentral:sRNA from 1 species
AGGCAUAUGUAUUAGAAAACCAAAAAAAAA